UACAGAGGGGGCUAGCGUUGUUCGGAAUUACUGGGCGUAAAGGGCGCGUAGGCGGCGCGGUAAGUCACUUGUGAAAUCUCUGAGCUUAACUCAGAACGGCCAAGUGAUACUGCAGUGCUAGAGUGCAGAAGGGGCAAUCGGAAUUCUUGGUGUAGCGGUGAAAUGCGUAGAUAUCAAGAGGAACACCUGAGGUGAAGACGGGUUGCUAGGCUGACACUGACGCUGAGGCGCGAAAGCCAGGGGAGCAAACAGG
rnacentral:rRNA from 1 species